ensembl:lncRNA
GGUUAUUUUAUCAUUGUGGACAUACAGUAAAGAAAAUAACAAACAGACAUACAAAUGGGUCUAUAAUUCUUGCAGUAUUCUUUGUUUUUCCUUCUUUGGGUAAGAUUGUUAUAAUAGCUUCUCCACAUGAUGGUGGAGCUAUUCCCUGAUUCAGAGUCCAGUUGAAGCAAGAUAGAAGAAGUGGCUUGAGUUCUUCUUUGAAAACUUUGUAACUUUGUAGGUGUGAUCACAUUGAUGCCACAAUGGACGACUGAUCAAUGCUCCACUACCUUUUUUUUUUUUUUUUUUACUUUGAUUUUUAUUAGGUUAUUUUAUCAUUGUGGACAUACAGUAAAGAAAAUAACAAACAGACAUACAUAUAAACAAACAGAGUCUGGAGUUUACAUAUCUUUCUCCAUUUAUCACAUUGCAGAAAAAAAAAGAAAACCUAUUAUGUUAUUUCAUUUGUGUCACUUCUGAAUGUUUUCCACUUCCUCCAUAGUCUGUCGUAUUUACCUCCCAUCAGUCUAAUGUUGAGUGUUAUUUUUUCCAUCUCUGAGAUAUCCUCUACAAUACUUGCAGUAUUCUUUGUUUUUUCCUUCUUUGGGUAAGAUUGUUAUAAUAGCUUCUCCCCAUGAUGGUGGAGCUAUUCCCUGAUUCAGAGUCCAGUUGAAGCAAGAUAGAAGAAGUGGCUUGAGUUCUUCUUUGAAAACUUUGUAACUUUGUAGGUGUGAUCACAUUGAUGCCACAAUGGACGACUGAUCAAUGCUCCACUACCAAAAGGAAGCCAAGCCCUGCCACCCUUUACAACAAAACAAGGUGUGAUCACAUUGAUGCCACAAUGGACGACUGAUCAAUGCUCCACUACCAAAAGGAAGCCAAGCCCUGCCACCCUUUACAACAAAACAAGGUGUGAUCACAUUGAUGCCACAAUGGACGACUGAUCAAUGCUCCACUACCAAAAGGAAGCCAAGCCCUGCCACCCUUUACAACAAAACAAGGUGUGAUCACAUUGAUGCCACAAUGGACGACUGAUCAAUGCUCCACUACCAAAAGGAAGCCAAGCCCUGCCACCCUUUACAACAAAACAAGGUGUGAUCACAGGGC